rnacentral:tRNA from 1 species
GCUCCCGUAGCUCAGUUGGAUAGAGCAGUGGUUUCCUAAACCAUUGGUCGUAGGUUCAAAUCCUACCGGGAGUG